GCAGGGUGGCCACCCAGUAAUCAGCACAAGUUAGAAUGUGGGCAACUCGGCAGUCGUUGCGCAGGCACUUUGGUGACUCUAGAUAACCUCGGGCCGAUUGCACGUCCCCGUGACGGCGACGACGCAUUCGGAUGUCUGCCCUAUCAACUUUCGAUGUUACUUUCUGUGCCUACCAUGGUGACCACGGGUAACAGGGAAUCAGGGUUCAAUUCCGGAGAGGGAGCCUGAGAAAUGGCUACCACAUCCAAGGAACGCAGCAGGCGCGCAAAUUACCCACUCCCGACGCGGGGAGGUAGUGAC